ensembl:lncRNA
GCAAGGCCAAGGAUGUAGUCAAAGUGGGCAUUAAAUCAAGUGGCGUUGACAUCAGACAUAGUCCAGCUUCCAUCUUGAGGAAGCAUUUCAGUUGCAAGCAGUUUUCACCACUGCCUCUGCAAGACUUCUACACGACCUUCCCUGAACCACGGGAAGAUCCCUUUGACUACUGGCUUCGCCUUAACUGUGCUGCUGAUAUUGCUGCUGAGUGUCUCCUGGAACAGGGCGGACCAGGAAAUGCUCUAAACCUGUCCUUUAUGUUGCUGACCCAUUGUGCAGGUAACCGAUAGGUUGUUUUAGUUACAUGUAUGUUUAUAAUCCCACUUGUGGCGUUGCUAGCAUUCAAAAUCUAGAAUGUCUAGCUAGCCGGUCCCGCCAUUUUUACAUGCAAUACCGCCGGUCGCCACAUGAGGGGAGGGAUCACCUGUUUAUGC